rnacentral:other from 1 species
GUUUCAAUCCCUCAUAGGUACGAUCAAAAC